rnacentral:rRNA from 1 species
AAACCGUUGAAAGGGAAGCGAAUGGAGUUAGCAAUUCGCCCUGCCAGAUUCAGUCGUUCGCGCAUCGCGACGCGAGUGCUCUCGAUCCGCAUGGACGAGACGCGCGCGGGCACGGCGUGCGGACGCCGCACUUCUGGCGGGCGRGCGUCAGCGUCGGUUGGCGACGGGCGACAAGGACUCGAGGAAGGUGGACCGGUUUCGCGACCGGUUGUUAUUAGCCUCGUGCUUCUCGCAUGGCCCGACGGCGACCGUGGAAAUCUCAUCACGACGACGCGUGCCUGGCUGGCGACCCGAACGAUCGGUCCGGCAUGUCGACCGUGGCGGACGGCACGCCUGUGCGCUCGAACUGCUGUCGGUCGAUCGCUUUGGUGCUCGCACAAUACGCGUCUGGGAUGCUGACGACCAUACGGCUCUAUCCGACCCGUCUUGAAACACGGACCAAGGAGUCUAACAUGUGCGCGAGUCUCCGGGUGAUCGAAACCCGUGGGCGCAAUGAAAGUAAAGGUCGUCCCCGCGACGAUUGAGGUGAGAAGCGCGACACGACAUCUCGAGUGUUCGCCGCAUCAUCGACCGACCUAUUCUGCUCACAGAGAGGUUUGAGUAAGAGCGUAUCUGUUGGGACCCGAAAGAUGGUGAACUAUGCCUGAAUAGGGUGAAGCCAGCGGAAACACUGGUGGAAGCUCGUAGCGAUUCUGACGUGCAAAUCGAUCGUCGAAUUUGGGUAUAGCGGCGAAAGACUAAUCGAACCAUCUAGUAGCUGGUUCCCUCCGAAGUUUCCCUCAGGAUAGCUGGAGUUCAUACUUGUGCAGU